rnacentral:lncRNA from 7 species
AGACAACUAACAGCUAAUUAGUUCCAAUUAAGUUCUCUCACAGGUGCUUCUGAAGUUGCCAUUUGGAAGCAGCAGUUUCUCCUGAAAGGUGGAGAAGGCAAUGCCAAAGUUCAGAGAAGAGAAAUAGCACGAGAUCGGUCCUGCGGUGGCUUUGCUUUUUGCUUGACUAAGCACCCACGUAUCCACCCUCCCUCCAAAGGACGUGAGCGCAGAACGGCGGAGGAGGCGAACGAAUCACACAGAGGUUUGCUCCAUGUGUUUGUGCCUGUAAUGUAGCUACAACAGACUGAUCCAACAGCCCCAGAGGGAACCUGCUGAGGAAGCAGAGCCCGUGCUCAGCCCUCACCUCUUCCACACCUCUGCUCCAUCACAAGGCGCAGAGCACAUCCCCAGCCUGCAGGUCUCCGGGUGGGUCUGGUGUUCUGUUAGCACUGCUGCUGCCCAGGAACGUCUGUUUAAUCUGCUGGGUCUAAGAGGCUCAAGGAGAGCGUUUGGUGUUGGUGCUGUCACCUCUGCUGCUGCUGUAGGUAAAUAUACAUGUCACCUGGGAAAUUAACUCAAGGGAAAUGACAAUCUAAAGAAGUUACGUGUGUGCAUUUGCAUAGCAGGGUUUCUGUCUAAUGUAGUGUUUUAAUUAAACUGCUUUGAUAAGUCCUGACUUCUCAGACAGAGAUCCCUCACACUUUUCCAUACACGUCUCAGGUCUCUGACAUCUGCCUGGCCUGAACAAUGAGGGCCCAGCUGCAAGCAGAGAAAACUCAAAAACCAUUGCAUAUCUAUUUAUUUUUUUCUGGACAAACAAUUUUAUUUUAGGUAAUGCGUCUAUACACUGUACAUUCAGUCACUGUGGUAUAUAAGCAUAGCUAUUUUCAUACAUAAUCUCAUAAAGUCCUUUAUUUUACAAUAUUAUCUGCUUCAAGGGGUGGGGAUGUGGAAAAGGGGGUGGAAAAGGACUAUCAAGGUACACAGCGAAAUAGAUAAAUAUGCCAAGCUUUUUUCUUAUUUUUUUUUUAAAUCAGGCAUUUAUAAACAAGAAAGCAUACAUUACUUACAUAAAAAUAGUUCUAGAAUAGUAGAGUAAGUCAUAAUAUUGUCAUUAGCAGCAGCAUAGGAGAGACCAGGAUAAGAAAAAUGUGCUGAAAUGCUAUUGGCUAUUAUAAAUGUAUAGAUUUAUUUUUCUUCAAUUGAAAAAAUGUCAUUUCUGUGAUUUCUUUCAUUAAAAAAAAAAAAAAGAAAAAAAACCCAAUAACAAACAAAAAAACCAAAGCAACAGAAAACUCUUAAAACAUCUGGGCUGAUUCUGAGGAGAGGGCAGAACGGAAAGAAAAAUCAACCUUUUGGUAAUAAAAU